UCUUUGUGAUGCUGAGGUUGCUCUUAUCGUCUUCUCUAGCCGUGGCCGCCUCUAUGAGUAUGCCAACAAUAGUGUUAAAUCUACAAUUGAGAGGUACAAGAAGGCUUGCGCAGAUUCAUCCAGUACUGGAUCUGUUUCUGAAGCUAAUGCUCAGUACUAUCAGCAAGAAGCUGCCAAGCUGCGUGUGCAAAUUAGCAAUUUGCAGAAUUCAAACGGCAAUAUGCUGGGUGAGUCUCUAGGAGCCUUGAAUGUCAAAGAACUUAAGAGCUUGGAGAUAAGAUUGGAGAAAGGAAUUAGUAGAAUUCGGUCCAAAAAGAAUGAGUUGUUGUUCGCAGAGAUCGAGUAUAUGCAGAAAAGGGAAAUUGAUUUGCACAGCAAUAAUCAGCUUCUCCGAGCUAAGAUUGCGGAAAACGAAAGGAAGCAACAGAACAUGAAUAUGAUGCCAGGAGGUGGUAACUAUGAGAUCACGCAAUCUCAGACAUUUGACAACAGGAACUAUUUUCAAGUGAAUGCAUUACAACCCACCAAUCAUUACCCGCACCAAGACCAGAUGGCCCUUCAGAUAGUCUAAUAUGCUUCCAGGGCAUCCUUUAGUUCUAUUUUUCUGUGGAGAGUAUCAGGUAUAUAUUUCAACUGCUGAGAGCUGAUAGUAUGCCCAAAUUUUCUAGCAGAAAUCAACUUUGCCCGAGUACUAGCCUUGUGUAAUCCCUAAAGAGUGGUAUCCCACCAUACACUAGCCUUGUGCAAUCCCACUUAAGACCUAUUAGUGUUGUUGUAAGAGAAAGAUUUCUUUUCUGGAUGUUUUUCUAUGGCUAGUUUCAUUUACUUGCAUAUUUCUCGUGUCUUGUGCACCUUCUCGUUGUAAUAUUAGUUCAUUUAUGGAAUCUACAAUUUGUG
rnacentral:misc_RNA from 1 species